UCUUCGAUUAUAAAAGCAAGUGGGUGAACACCGAGAAUGGUCAUUCAGGAUUCAGACCCUUGCAUGUUCACAUUAUCCUUUUCUGGUCAGGCAAACAACAUGAGGUCAACUAUGCAGACAUUUCGGAUCUCCCUUAUCUGCUUCUUCUGUUUGGAAACCUUCACACUGAGCGCUAAGUUGGAUAGAGACUAUAGAACCAGAUCCGACAGCGACAGCAACAGUGCGUCUUUGGAGAGUUCUUCUGUUGACAGUGAUGCUGGAGCCUGCUUCCUUACUCAAACCUGUGGUACUGGAAAUAUCUUGGAAUCUACUCAACCAACUGAGUUCGACCUGAUACGAACUGCUCUGGAGUCAAUAACCUCUGAGGACGAUCUGGUCUCAGCCAUAGAGGAGAUAAUAGUCCAACAGAGACAAGGUGGAACCUCUGAUUGCUUCUUAUCAGUUAUACGUCCUACCGCACCCUCAACUAUACUUCGUCUCAAUGCACAAGACGCCCUCGGGUUUUCCAUAGAAAUUGACCUAGCUCAGGUGGCAGAACCCACUUUGUUGUUGUCUUUCAUCUUCACGGAUCUGCCGUCUUCUUUUGGAGAGCUCAGCUAUGACGUUGUUAUCGUCGACACUGGUACCCUGUCCCUCAUCUCUGCCACACCACGUUUUCGCGCUACCAAUGGAGGAGUAUUUGAUCUGUUCCUUACUGGUGAGGUGUGUUCCUUAUCUCAACCCUUGGUGUGCGGAGGAGCGGCUCCAACGAAUCCAACGUUGCCUGCAGAUUUGCCAACAUUGCCGCCUGCUCAAGCCGCUGACCUUGAUGCUGCUAUGGCGUCAGUGCGAGGUGCUCUUUGCCCGCCGUAGCGGCAAAUCGAACCAGUCAGGAAUUGAAUUGAACGCAGUUAUUGACGUGAUGGGUGCCAACAUUGAACUUUGCUAGGCUCGCACUCAUCCAUACAGGCUUUUAUUGAUACCCUCGUUCUCCCACGUAUGUAACACAAUAACGGAGAGUAUCUCUUGUACGGGAAAAUACACACAAGAGCAACCUAAACAACGGAUAUUGAGCUAAAAGGGCCGUGAGCACAGACUGAUACCUAGAUAACGGAGAUAACGGAGAUAACGGAGAGUAUUCAGUCCUACAAACCUGUAACUUUAUUGUUUUUCCCCUUCUGCUUCAUAGGCAUUUCAGCCAUAAAUUUACUUACUUGCAACGCGAACGGAACCUUAGACCGCACACGUGGACCUUUCCAGAUCUGUAUGUCCCUGUAAAUGAACUAUGUAGGGAACACAUUGUGUACAUGUGUUCCUGAGGCCGCAAGUCCACCCACCCUCUCACUGAUGUUAAAUUUUAUACUUUAAGUUAGUUCCUUUCCUAGGUCUGGUUGUGCAAAGCUUGGUUUAUCUACAUGUUACCUCAAUUUACAUGUUCAUUCUCCCUCUCCAACCGGCAUUCCAGCUUAUCCACGCCGAACGAGUGGUCAUGUUACCUACGAUACAUUCUUAGCAGAGAUCGACACACCUUAAUAUAAGUGGCUUGCAAUCCUGAUGAACGCACGCAGUAGCUGAUCGCUCAGGUACGUCUAGGUUUGUGGCCUGGACGCUUACACCAGUUUGGUGUCAUCUUCGGGAAAUAAAAUCAGUAACAUCAAUGUAGUUUCAUCGUAAUGUACUCACAUUUUCCGUCCUUACCGGUACAGAAACAUGUACCAGUAAAUCGAUAAGCUGACAUAAAAUGUUCCGCUCUGUUGUUCAAUUUUUCAA